CAGGAGCUGGUUGCGGGAGAGAUGCGAGAGCCGGAGGCGGGAGAAAAAUGAGGAAUGUUAACUUUUAUCAAAAAUCAGAACCAAACAAUAUUUAUAUUACUAUUUUAGCUGGAAUCAAACUUGAUCGUCAGACAUUGGAGGCAUUUUUAAUUAUUUUCUUACAUUCGCAGGUGGUUACCAUAUUCAAGGAAAUUUACUUUAUUUGGC